rnacentral:pre_miRNA from 1 species
UAUGGUACAAUCAACUGGAGUAUAGCACAUCUAGUCACAUGCUCUAUAACUGUGGUGACUAGAUGUCUAUACUCCUGUUGAUCGUAUGA